rnacentral:rRNA from 1 species
UACGUAGGGUGCAAGCGUUGUCCGGAAUUAUUGGGCGUAAAGAGCUCGUAGGCGGUCUGUCGCGUCGGCUGUGAAAACCCGGAGCUCAACUCCGGGCCUGCAGUCGAUACGGGCAGACUGGAGGUAUGCAGGGGAGAACGGAAUUCCUGGUGUAGCGGUGAAAUGCGCAGAUAUCAGGAGGAACACCGGUGGCGAAGGCGGUUCUCUGGGCAUGUCCUGACGCUGAGGAGCGAAAGUGUGGGGAGCGAACAGG